rnacentral:misc_RNA from 1 species
GAUGAGAACGCAGCGAAAUGCGAUACUUGGUGUGAAUUGCAGAAUCCCGUGAACCAUCGAGUCUUUGAACGCAAGUUGCGCCUCAAGCCAUUAGGUUGAGGGCACGUCUGCCUGGGCGUCACAUAUCGUUGCCUGAUGCCAGUUUCCUCGUGAUGGGUGACUGUGCAGGGCGAAUGAUGGCUUCCCGUGAGCAUUGUUGCCUCAUGGUUGGUUGAAAAUUGAGUCCUUGGUAGGGAGCGCCGUGAUAGAUGGUGGUUGAGUGACGAACGAGACCCAAUCAUGUGAGACCCCUACCGAAUUUGGCCUUCAUGACCCACAUGCGUCUUUGGAACGCUCAUGACGAGACCUCAGGUCAGGCGGGGCUACCCGCUGAGUUUAAGCAUAUCAAUAAGCGGAGGA